UCCCACUCCUCCAGAGCAGGGCAAGCACACCCAGCAAGCAGGGAAGGAACCGAGGAUGGCAGAACGGGGCCAGAUGGACAGGGUCCUAAUUCCCGUCAAGAAUCAUUACCCACCACAUGCUGGAUGAGGCACCUCCAAAGACGUGCUGUGAGCACUGGAAAACGAGGCAGCACCAGGAGGUCGGGACCCCACAGCGUCUCUGGAAAACCAUUCCAGUGCUGGAGCACCACUUCCCUCAAACAGCUUUUCUUACAUUUAAAGAGAAUUUCUUGCGCUUUGA